AAAAAAUAUGAAUAUCCUAGGUGGAGGUGGAAGAGUCCAUCACAUGGUUCACAGAAAGGAAGAUGACCACAAGAUGGACAAAUCAGUGAGGACACACCGCCACACAGGUUACACUUGCUGACUGGAGGAGGUGACCGUAGAGGCAGGGAAGUAUAAGAGCAGAGGGCAGCUGCAUUGCAGCACCCAGGACCAACUCCGGAGAGAGAGAGAGAGAGAAUGAAAGAGCCACUGGCUAUGUAUUUCCACAGCAAGUGUCACAUGGAAGGAGAGGUCAACGGAAACUCUACACUGCUCAGAAACCAACAUGACAGGUUUGGUGGAGUUCCGGGU